rnacentral:lncRNA from 1 species
UUUCCGCUGCCACCGAUGGAGAUCGGCCUCGUCGUCGCUCACCGGCCGUCUCUCCCGGUGGCGGCGGUACCGGCGCCGGCCUACCUCCGCCGCCGCCACCUUCCCGGCCUAAUCUCCCUCCCCCGCACCUCCCCCUCCCUGUUCUCCCCGCACCAUCAACGCCUCAGUCCCACGCCUCGCCAUGACCUCCUGCAGCCUCUCCGAGCCUCCCCAGCCCCUGAUUCUAGCCCCAAACCAGAGCCCCCCGCCGCCUCCGGUGCGAAGCUUGUGCCGCUCGUCAUCUCCAUCGCGGUCGGCCUCGCCGUGCGGUUCCUCGCGCCGCGGCCCGCCGAGGUGAGCCCCAACGCGUGGCAGAUGCUCUCCAUCUUCCUCUCCACCAUCGCGGGGCUCGUGCUGGGCCCGCUCCCCGUCGGCGCCGUGGCCUUCCUCGGGCUCACGACCGUCGUUGCCACGAAAACGCUCCCCUUCGCCGCCGCCUUCGCCGCCUUUACCAACGAGAUCAUCUGGCUCAUCGUCAUCUCCUUCUUCUUCGCGCGCGGGUUCGUCAAGACGGGCCUCGGCGACCGCAUCGCCACCUACUUCGUCAAGUGGCUCGGGAGCAGCACGCUGGGGCUGUCCUACGGGCUCACCCUCGGCGAGGCCUGCAUAGCGCCGGCCAUGCCCAGCACCGCGGCGAGGGCAGGGGGCAUUUUCCUGCCGAUCAUCAAGUCACUCUCCAUCUCGGCUGGCAGCAAGCCCAAUCAUCCAUCUUCACGGAAGCUCGGAUCAUAUCUUGUGAUGA